GCGUUCGUGGUGUAGUGGUCAGCACACUCGACGCAUAUUCAAGAGAUUCGUGGUUCGAGUCCCGGCGAGGGUA
rnacentral:tRNA from 1 species